rnacentral:lncRNA from 1 species
AUGCUGAAUCCCGAAAGAGACACCAUUCCAGUGACAGCUAUCCCUGGAAGUUCCACCCUCUCUGCAGGGGUCAGAAAUACAAUUUCAUCAGCAUGCACUGGCUCAGUGCAGGUCUGGCACACUGGGGAAUUGCAAGACAUGUAUGAGAGGAUAAUGAGGGCAUCUCUGAACCUCCUGGCCCUUCCCAAGGAGUGCAGUAAACUGGAAGAACCAUCAACCCUGUUGCACCAAGGUGAUAAGUUCAGACAGGCUUCUGGAAGAGGUUACCGUGAACUGCUGUGCAGGCAGAAGGGUUGAUGAUGAUCUUGUCCAUGAAAUCCCUAACUACAUAUGUAAAAGCUGUCGCAUUCACUAAAUCAAUGGAAAGGCCAUGGUGAACAGGAGGAUCUGUGUUUAACACUGGUUUUCUCAUGAUAAUCUUUCUUCUAAAUUCAGUGGAAUUACAAUACUUGUGAAUUUAAUGCUAAAAGGCAUGAGAGGUGAUUUAUUUGAAUACAUUUUUUGUUGUUUACUCUCAGACUUUCUAUUCUUUUUUUUUUUUUCAUAAGGAUUGCAGCUCUUUAUUUCUGUAGAUUCUCUGACACUCAGUGUAACACAAGCAAAACCCAAAGCUCCUAAUUCUUCAUUGUUUAAAACAGGCAGAAGCUCCUCUGUAAUUAUGGGAGCUGAAUCCAUUUGGUCCAAGUUUGGUCUCCUAUGUCAAAGAUUGAUUACUGUUAGUAAUUACUGUGUGAUCGAUUAGGUAAGAGCAGGUUCCGUUUCCUGGCUGACAACUGCAGACUCUGCAGAAAAAAUCACAUUGACCCCAGCUAGAAAGUGAUCUCUUUUAUAAACCUCUAAUAGAAAGUGAUACAUAGGAGAUAUUUUGUACAGUUUUAUUGUAAUUAAUGAUAAAGCUAAAAUAAUUUCACAUGUUGAAAUAUCUUAAAACAUUUAGGACUGGAAAUUAAACAAGCAGCAUAGUAAAUCAAGGUCUCUUCUACAAAUUCUGAUCCUAUAGAGUCUUUAUCUUCCUUCUCACCUCAGUCUAUCAAGACAUGCCCUAAGCCCACCAGGCUUACAGAAAACAGCACUUCUUUCGGUAUUUUUCUACCCUAAUCCCAUCUAGU